GCUCCCAUUCUGGCAACAGAAGGGAGGUGUAUUUUGUGGAUUCUAUCGUUUCAUUCUUUGUUUCUGUCGUGGCAGGUAUAGUCACCUAUUAUAUCUGCAAAUGGUUAGACAGUAAACAUUAGCGGCAAUUAACCUGAAUGGAUGCUCGACCAUACAAAAUGAGAAGAACCCCCAGUAGCGGCAACUACUGGGGGUUCGUUUUUGGUGUAC
rnacentral:sRNA from 1 species